GUUAAGCGACUAAGCGUACACGGUGGAUGCCCUGGCAGUCAGAGGCGAUGAAGGACGUGCUAAUCUGCGAUAAGCGUCGGUGAGGUGAUAUGAACCGUUAUAACCGGCGAUUUCCGAAUGGGGAAACCCAGUGUGUUUCGACACACUAUCAUUAACUGAAUCCAUAGGUUAAUGAGGCGAACCGGGGGAACUGAAACAUCUAAGUACCCCGAGGAAAAGAAAUCAACCGAGAUUCCCCCAGUAGCGGCGAGCGAACGGGGAGGAGCCCAGAGCCUGAAUCAGUGUGUGUGUUAGUGGAAGCGUCUGGAAAGGCGCGCGAUACAGGGUGACAGCCCCGUACACAAAAAUGCACAUAUUGUGAGCUCGAUGAGUAGGGCGGGACACGUGGUAUCCUGUCUGAAUAUGGGGGGACCAUCCUCCAAGGCUAAAUACUCCUGACUGACCGAUAGUGAACCAGUACCGUGAGGGAAAGGCGAAAAGAACCCCGGCGAGGGGAGUGAAAAAGAACCUGAAACCGUGUACGUACAAGCAGUGGGAGCCUCUUUAUGGGGUGACUGCGUACCUUUUGUAUAAUGGGUCAGCGACUUAUAUUCUGUAGCAAGGUUAACCGAAUAGGGGAGCCGAAGGGAAACCGAGUCUUAACUGGGCGUUAAGUUGCAGGGUAUAGACCCGAAACCCGGUGAUCUAGCCAUGGGCAGGUUGAAGGUUGGGUAACACUAACUGGAGGACCGAACCGACUAAUGUUGAAAAAUUAGCGGAUGACUUGUGGCUGGGGGUGAAAGGCCAAUCAAACCGGGAGAUAGCUGGUUCUCCCCGAAAGCUAUUUAGGUAGCGCCUCGUGAAUUCAUCUCCGGGGGUAGAGCACUGUUUCGGCAAGGGGGUCAUCCCGACUUACCAACCCGAUGCAAACUGCGAAUACCGGAGAAUGUUAUCACGGGAGACACACGGCGGGUGCUAACGUCCGUCGUGAAGAGGGAAACAACCCAGACCGCCAGCUAAGGUCCCAAAGUCAUGGUUAAGUGGGAAACGAUGUGGGAAGGCCCAGACAGCCAGGAUGUUGGCUUAGAAGCAGCCAUCAUUUAAAGAAAGCGUAAUAGCUCACUGGUCGAGUCGGCCUGCGCGGAAGAUGUAACGGGGCUAAACCAUG
rnacentral:rRNA from 1 species